rnacentral:rRNA from 1 species
UGCUUAUUGAAUUUAUAUAGUAAGUAAUCUCCUGCCCAGUGAAAAAUUUUUUUCAACGGCCGCGGUAUCCUAACCGUGCAAAGGUAGCAUAAUAAUUUGCCCAUUAAUUGUGGGCUAGAAUGAACGGGGUAACGAAAUAAGUACUGUCUCAACAAAACUUAUAAAAACUAGUCUCAAAGUGAAGAAACUUUGAUAAUACUAAAGGACAAGAAGACCCUAUAGAGCUUUAUUUAAUAAAUUUAAUUUAACUUUAUUAAAUUCGGUUGGGGCGACCUAGGAAUAAUCAUCCUAAAUAAAUAAGAUAUAUUUAUCAUUACUAAUGAUCCUAUACUAGAUCAAAAGAACAAGCUACCUUAGGGAUAACAGGCUAAUCCUAUUAAAGAGUUCAUAUCGACAAUAGGGAUUGGCACCUCGAUGUUGGCUUAGAAUAUCUAUACGGCGCAGAUGUCGUAAAAAGAAGGUUUGUUCAACCUAUAAUUUUCU